UACAACUGGUAAGAAAUAUAUAAAUUCUGGAAACUACGCAGCAGGAGAGGCAUCAUACCGGCGUGUCUUGCAGCUGUAUGACUCCGCCACUGCUAGUCCAGGGCCCGCAGACAAAUCACAUGCACUUCAUCAGUUAGGGUUUUGUUUAACUCAACAAGGGCAGUGUGAGGAAGGGUUCAGAUUACUGACUGAAUCCCUAAAUAUUCAAAGAAAUCUUGUUCCAGGAAAUAAAUCAAAUCUUGCUACCACUCUUCAUGUACUUGGAGUAUGUCUGAGUAAGCAAGGGAAGCUGGAAGAUGCAUUGAGGGUUUUACAAGAAGCCCUUGGGCUGGAACGUACUUUGAACAACAAAGCGGAUAUCGCAC